rnacentral:rRNA from 1 species
CCUACGGGUGGCAGCAGUGAGGAAUAUUGGUCAAUGGACGAGAGUCUGAACCAGCCAAGUAGCGUGAAGGAUGACUGCCCUAUGGGUUGUAAACUUCUUUUAUAAAGGAAUAAAACGAGGCACGUGUGCCUUUUUGCAUGUACUUUAUGAAUAAGGAUCGGCUAACUCCGUGCCAGCAGCCUCGGUAAUACGGAGGAUCCGAGCGUUAUCCGGCUUUAUUGGGUUUAAAGGGCGCGUAGAUGGGUUGUUAAGUCAGUUGUGAAAGUUUGCGGCUCAACCGUAAAAUUGCAAUUGAUACUGGCAGUCGUGAGUAGAGUUGAGGUAGGCGGAAUGCGUGGUGUAGCGGUGAAAUGCUUAGAUAUCACGAAGAACCCCGAUUGCGAAGGCAGCUUACUAAACUGUGACUGACAUUGAUGCUCGAAAGUGUGGGUAUCAAACAGGAUGAGAUACCCCUGUAGUC